UGCCAGGUCACUCUGCAAACCUUGUUAAAACAUCAGACGCACGCACACGAGGUUCUCGGGCCAGGAACGGAGCUCCGACGCAAGGGCAAGGCUUCGCCAUGGCUAGCUACGUUCCUCGCAUCUGGCUCCCACGGACGUUCGUGGAGCAGCAGGCGCACAAGUUCAUAUCUCGGGCUUCGAAUUUCUACACGAGAAUCACAGGGUCAGAAAAGUGUCCAAGGAAGGACACCCUCUUACCGAUGUGCUAUCCUAGCGCGACUUAUGUGUGGAUGCAUUUGUGUGGGAAUCGAGACAAUAAGCCGUGUGUCAUCAUUACGAUCUAUCAACUAGAUCGCUCGGUGGUAUAACAUGACAGUUUAUCUUCAAUCUAAGUACAUGCGAAGGUAGCCUGUUGAGAGUCAACGAGUUGAGGACCUAAAGAGCGCAAUACUCGUCCUUCGCACCAUCAAAGUUGUGGUUCUGAGAUAAACCUGAACACCUGAACUACACACGGUGUCAAAGUUAUGGAAGAACGCUUAGAAGAUAAGCCAAUUGUCAUAUGCAACUGGUGGUUUGUACUCGAGGAGCUUAGUUCUCAAGG